rnacentral:rRNA from 1 species
CCUACGGGAGGCAGCAGUGGGGAAUAUUGGACAAUGGGGGGAACCCUGAUCCAGCGACGCCGCGUGAGUGAAGAAGUAUUUCGGUAUGUAAAGCUCUAUCAGCAGGGAAGAAAGAAAUGACGGUACCUGACUAAGAAGCCCCGGCUAACUACGGGCCAGCAGCCGCGGUAAUACGGAGGGGGCAAGCGUUAUCCGGAUUUACUGGGUGUAAAGGGAGCGUAGACGGCGAUGCAAGUCUGAAGUGAAAGGCGGGGGCCCAACCCCUGGACUGCUUUGGAAACUGUAUGGCUGGAGUGCAGGAGAGGUAAGUGGAAUUCCUAGUGUAGCGGUGAAAUGCGUAGAUAUUAGGAGGAACACCAGUGGCGAAGGCGGCUUACUGGACUGUAACUGACGUUGAGGCUCGAAAGCGUGGGGAGCAAACAGGAUUAGAUACCCGAGUAGUC